AUUGAACGCUGGCGGCAGGCCUAACACAUGCAAGUCGAGCGGAUGAGUGGAGCUUGCUCCAUGAUUCAGCGGCGGACGGGUGAGUAAUGCCUAGGAAUCUGCCUGGUAGUGGGGGACAACGUGUCGAAAGGAACGCUAAUACCGCAUACGUCCGACGGGAGAAAGUGGGGGAUCUUCGGACCUCACGCUAUCAGAUGAGCCUAGGUCGGAUUAGCUAGUUGGUGAGGUAAAGGCUCACCAAGGCGACGAUCCGUAACUGGGCUGAGAGGAUGAUCAGUCACACUGGAACUGAGACACGGUCCAGAUUCCUACGGGAGGCAGCAGUGGGGAUUAUUGGACAAUGGGCGAAAGCCUGAUCCAGCCAUGCCGCGUGUGUGAAGAAGGUCUUCGGAUUGUAAAGCACUUUAAGUUGGGAGGAAGGGCAGUAAGUUAAUACCUUGCUGUUUUGACGUUACCAACAGAAUAAGCACCGGCUAACUUCGUGCCAGCCGCCGCCGUAACAC
rnacentral:rRNA from 1 species